UCAAACUGCAGUGUGUGCAUAAAAGCUAAUCCUGGAGCUGGUGAGGAGGCAGGGCCUGGGCAGAUCAUUGCCUCUGACUCCUCUGUCUGUCUGUCUGUCUGUCUGUCUGUCUGUCUCACACACACUGUGUUUCUUCUGUCAACUAUGGAACAGAUGUUGUGUAAAUAUGAUCUGUGGUUUAAUUGUCAGAUUCCCAGAAUUGAUAUCACUUUGACAUGUGGGGCUUAUUCUGAUAAUACAGACAUUUUUUUCCCGUUGGCUGAACCUGGGCUGUGGAUCUUCCAUGUUCCAUCAGAAGCAGAGAGAUUGAGUUGGGCUUUAACCGGUCUCUACCUGUUUUGGUGUCUGUCAGUCCGCUGCAGUCAGAGGAGACUCUUCUCUGGCCUCCCUGCAGGUCAAUGGGUGUUCUCUCUUGGUCUUGCUUGUUGAUUGUUACGUAGGUCAGGUGCCACCACUAGGUGGGAGGCCCUAGCUGCUUAACACUAGGGGCAAAGUGAGAUUUAAAAAAAUGUUUGUAAUAAUGAAAACCAAAUAACCUUUAAAGAUCAGGCCUGCAUGUGAGAAUGGCCUUUGGGAAUGGCAAGAUUUAUGGCGAACGGUUCUAUGGCUCUGUGAGCUUUCCAGCCAGUGUGAUAUUUCAGAUGGUGUUCAUUUUGUAACUGUGUCUCCAUUCUCCUGUGGCCUCCAUUCUCUAUCUUUCUGGACUUGGUCCUGAGACUAUGAAAUGUUUUGCAGAGAAAAAUAUAGUAAAAAAAAAAA
rnacentral:lncRNA from 1 species